UGGACAGACAGGCAGUGGCA
rnacentral:misc_RNA from 1 species